rnacentral:rRNA from 1 species
ACAUCCAGAGAACUUAGCAGAGAUGCUUCGGUGCCUUCGGGAACUCUGAGACAGGUGCUGCAUGGCUGUCGUCAGCUCGUGUUGUGAAAUGUUGGGUUAAGUCCCGNAACGAGCGCAACCCUUAUCCUUUGUUGCCAGCGGGUAAUGCCGGGAACUCAAAGGAGACUGCCGGUGAUAAACCGGAGGAAGGUGGGGAUGACGUCAAGUCAUCAUGGCCCUUACGGCCAGGGCUACACACGUGCUACAAUGGCGCAUACAAAGAGAAGCGACCUCGCGAGAGCAAGCGGACCUCAUAAAGUGCGUCGUAGUCCGGAUCGGAGUCUGCAACUCGACUCCGUGAAGUCGGAAUCGCUAGUAAUCGUAGAUCAGAAUGCUACGGUGAAUACGUUCCCGGGCCUUGUACACACCGCCCGUCACACCAUGGGAGUGGGUUGCAAAAGAAGUAGGUAGCUUAACCUCCGGGAGGGCGCUUACCACUUUGUGAUUCAUGACUGGGGUGAAGUCGUAACAAGGUAGGCGUAGUGCU